rnacentral:rRNA from 1 species
UUAAAUUGAAGAGUUUGAUCAUGGCUCAGAUUGAACGCUGGCGGCAGGCCUAACACAUGCAAGUCGAACGGUAACAGGAAGCAGCUUGCUGCUUCGCUGACGAGUGGCGGACGGGUGAGUAAUGUCUGGGAAACUGCCUGAUGGAGGGGGAUAACUACUGGAAACGGUAGCUAAUACCGCAUAACGUCGCAAGACCAAAGGGGGGGGACCUUCGGGCCUCUUGCCAUCGGAUGUGCCCAGAUGGGAUUAGCUUGUUGGUGGGGUAACGGCUCACCAAGGCGACGAUCCCUAGCUGGUCUGAGAGGAUGACCAGCCACACUGGAACUGAGACACGGUCCAGACUCCUACGGGAGGCAGCAGUGGGGAAUAUUGCACAAUGGGCGCAAGCCUGAUGCAGCCAUGCCGCGUGUAUGAAGAAGGCCUUCGGGUUGUAAAGUACUUUCAGCGGGGAGGAAGGGAGUAAAGUUAAUACCUUUGCUCAUUGACGUUACCCGCAGAAGAAGCACCGGCUAACUCCGUGCCAGCAGCCGCGGUAAUACGGAGGGUGCAAGCGUUAAUCGGAAUUACUGGGCGUAAAGCGCACGCAGGCGGUUUGUUAAGUCAGAUGUGAAAUCCCCGGGCUCAACCUGGGAACUGCAUCUGAUACUGGCAAGCUUGAGUCUCGUAGAGGGGGGUAGAAUUCCAGGUGUAGCGGUGAAAUGCGUAGAGAUCUGGAGGAAUACCGGUGGC